GAUGAACGCUGGCGGCGUGCCUAAUACAUGCAAGUCGAGCGAACGGACGAGAAGCUUGCUUCUCUGAUGUUAGCGGCGGACGGGUGAGUAACACGUGGAUAACCUACCUAUAAGACUGGGAUAACUUCGGGAAACCGGAGCUAAUACCGGAGAAUAUUUUGAACCGCAUGGUUCAAAAGUGAAAGACGGUCUUGCUGUCACUUAUAGAUGGAUCCGCGCUGCAUUAGCUAGUUGGUAAGGUAACGGCUUACCAAGGCAACGAUGCAUAGCCGACCUGAGAGGGUGAUAGGCCACACUGGAACUGAGACACGGUCCAGACUCCUACGGGAGGCAGCAGUAGGGAAUCUGCCGCAAUGGGCGAAAGCCUGACGGAGCAACGCCGCGUGAGUGAUGAAGGUCUUCGGAUCGUAAAACUCUGUUAUUAGGGAAGAACAUAUGUGUAAGUAACUGUGCACAUCUUGACGGUACCUAAUCAGAAAGCCACGGCUAACUACGUG
rnacentral:rRNA from 1 species